AUUGAACGCUGGCGGCAUGCUUUACACAUGCAAGUCGAACGGCAGCGCGGGGCAACCUGGCGGCGAGUGGCGAACGGGUGAGUAAUAUAUCGGAACGUACCCAAGAGUGGGGGAUAACGUAGCGAAAGUUACGCUAAUACCGCAUACGAUCUAAGGAUGAAAGUGGGGGAUCACAAGACCUCAUGCUCCUGGAGCGGCCGAUAUCUGAUUAGCUAGUUGGUGAGGUAAAGGCUCACCAAGGCGACGAUCAGUAGCUGGUCUGAGAGGACGACCAGCCACACUGGGACUGAGACACGGCCCAGACUCCUACGGGAGGCAGCAGUGGGGAAUUUUGGACAAUGGGCGCAAGCCUGAUCCAGCAAUGCCGCGUGAGUGAAGAAGGCCUUCGGGUUGUAAAGCUCUUUUGUCUGGGAAGAAACGGCUGAGGAUAAUACCUUCGGCUAAUGACGGUACCUGAAGAAUAAGCACCGGCUAACUACGUGCCAGCCGCCGCAGUAA
rnacentral:rRNA from 1 species